AGAAUCAACGCUGGCGGCGUGCCUAACACAUGCAAGUCGCACGAGAAAGGCCCUUCGGGGUACUCGAGCGGCGAACGGGUGAGUAACACGUGAGCAACCUGCCCUUAGCUCUGGGAUAGCUCCGGGAAACCGGAAUUAAUACCGGAUACGACCUAGGCCGACAUCGGCCAUGGUGGAAAGUUUUUCGGCUAGGGAUGGACUCGCGGCCUAUCAGCUAGUUGGUGGGGUAAAGGCCCACCAAGACGAUGAUCGGUA
rnacentral:rRNA from 1 species